AUGAACGCUAGCUACAGGCUUAACACAUGCAAGUCGCGGGGCAGCAUGAAGGAUGCUUGCAUCUUUUGAUGGCGACCGGCGCACGGGUGAGUAACGCGUAUCCAACCUGCCUGUUACCACGGCACAGCCCGUCGAAAGGCGGAUUAAUGCCGUAUGUGGUCUUGAAAGGGCAUCUGAUCAUGACUAAAGGUUCAGCGGUAACGGAUGGGGAUGCGUCCGAUUAGCUAGACGGCGGGGUAACGGCCCACCGUGGCUACGAUCGGUAGGGGUUCUGAGAGGAAGGUCCCCCACACUGGAACUGAGACACGGUCCAGACUCCUACGGGAGGCAGCAGUGAGGAAUAUUGGUCAAUGGGCGUAAGCCUGAACCAGCCAAGUAGCGUGAGGGAAGACUGCCCUAUGGGUUGUAAACCUCUUUUGUGCGGGGAUAAAGUGUGGGACGUGUCCCAUAUUGCAGGUACCGCACGAAUAAGGACCGGCUAAUUCCGUGCCAGCAGCCGCGGUAAUACGGAAGGUCCGGGCGUUAUCCGGAUUUAUUGGGUUUAAAGGGAGCGCAGGCCGUCCUUUAAGCGUGCUGUGAAAUGCCGCGGCUCAACCGUGGCACUGCAGCGCGAACUGGAGGACUUGAGUACGCACGAGGUAGGCGGAAUUCGUGGUGUAGCGGUGAAAUGCUUAGAUAUCACGAAGAACUCCGAUUGCGAAGGCAGCUUACCGGAGCGCAACUGACGCUGAGGCUCGAAAGCGCGGGUAUCGAACAGGAUUAGAUACCCUGGUAGUCCGCGCGGUAAACGAUGGAUGCCCGCCGUUGGGAUUUGGAUUUCAGCGGCCAAGCGAAAGCGUUAAGCAUCCCACCUGGGGAGUACGCCGGCAACGGUGAAACUCAAAGGAAUUGACGGGGGCCCGCACAAGCGGAGGAACAUGUGGUUUAAUUCGAUGAUACGCGAGGAACCUUACCCGGGUUUGAACGCAUUCGGACCGAGGUGGAAACACCUUUUCUAGCAAUAGCCGUUUGCGAGGUGCUGCAUGGUUGUCGUCAGCUCGUGCCGUGAGGUGUCGGCUCAAGUGCCAUAACGAGCGCAACCCCUGUCCAUAGUUGCCAUCAGGUUAUGCUGGGCACUCUGUGGAGACUGCCGCCGUAAGGUGUGAGGAAGGUGGGGAUGACGUCAAAUCAGCACGGCCCUUACGUCCGGGGCUACACACGUGUUACAAUGGGGCAUACAGCGAGUUGGAUGUGCGCAAGUACGUCCGGAUCAAUAAAGUGCCUCUCAGUUCGGACUGGGGUCUGCAACCCGACCCCACGAAGCUGGAUUCGCUAGUAAUCGCGCAUCAGCCAUGGCGCGGUGAAUACGUUCCCGGGCCUUGUACACACCGCCCGUCAAGCCAUGAAAGCCGGGGGCGCCUGAAGUCCGUGACCGCGAGGGUCGGCCUAGGGUGAAACCGGUGAUUGGGGCU
rnacentral:rRNA from 1 species